GACGAACGCUGGCGGCGUGCCUAAUACAUGCAAGUCGAACGAGAGCGACCGGUGCUUGCCCUGGUCAAUCUAGUGGCGAACGGGUGAGUAACACGUGGGUAACCUGCCCAUCAGAGGGGGAUAACAUUCCGAAACGGAUGCUAAAACCGCAUAGGUCUUCGAACCGCAUGGUUUGAAGAGGAAAAGAGGCGCAAGCUUCUGCUGAUGGAUGGACCCGCUGUGCAUUAGCUAGUUGGUGAGGUAACGACUCACCAAGGCCGUGAUGUAUA
rnacentral:rRNA from 1 species